rnacentral:rRNA from 1 species
GACGAACGCUGGCGGCGUGCUUAACACAUGCAAGUCGAACGCACUUCACUCCUUCGGGAGUGAAGUGAGUGGCGAACGGGUGAGUAACACGUGAGCAAUCUACCCUUGACUCCGGAAUAACAGCUGGAAACAGCUGCUAAUACCGGAUACGACCUUGAUGGCAUCAUCUGGAGGUGGAAAGCCCGACGGUCAAGGAUGGGCUCGCGGCCUAUCAGCUUGUUGGGAGGUAACGGCUCACCAAGGCUUCGACGGGUAGCCGGCCUGAGAGGGCGACCGGCCACACUGGGACUGAGACACGG